UACGUAGGGUGCAAGCGUUGUCCAGAAUUAUUGGGCGUAAAGAGCUUGUAGGCGGUUUGUCGCGUCUGCUGUGAAAAUCCGGGGCUCAACCCCGGACUUGCAGUGGGUACGGGCAGACUAGAGUGUGGUAGGGGAGGACUGGAAUUCCUGGUGUAGCGGUGAAAUGCGCAGAUAUCAGGAGGAACACCGAUGGCGAAGGCAGGUCUCUGGGCCACUACUGACGCUGAGAAGCGAAAGCAUGGGGAGGCAAACAGGAUUAGA
rnacentral:rRNA from 1 species